rnacentral:rRNA from 1 species
GAUGAACGCUGGCGGCGUGCUUAACACAUGCAAGUCGAACGGUGAACGAGGGAGCUUGCUCCCUCCGGAUCAGUGGCGAACGGGUGAGUAACACGUGAGCAAUCUUCCCUGGACUCUGGGAUAAGCGUUGGAAACGACGUCUAAUACCGGAUACGAGGCGUGGGGGCAUCCCCAACGCCUGGAAAGAACUUCGGCCCAGGAUGAGCUCGCGGCCUAUCAGCUGGGUGGUGAGGUAACGGCUCACCAAGGCGACGACGGGUAGCGGGCCGGAGAGGGGGACCGGCCACACUGGGACUGAGACACGGCCCAGACUCCGACGGGGGGCAGCAGUGGGGAAUAUUGCACAAUGGGCGCAAGCCUGAUGCAGCAACGCCGCGUGAGGGACGACGGCCUUCGGGUUGUAAACCUCUUUUAGCAGGGAAGAAGCGAAAGUGACGGUACCUGCAGAAAAAGCACCGGCUAACUACGUGCCAGCCGCCGCGGUAAUAC